GAUGAACGCUGGCGGCGUGCCUAAUACAUGCAAGUCGAGCGAACAGACGAGGAGCUUGCUCCUCUGACGUUAGCGGCGGACGGGUGAGUAACACGUGGAUAACCUACCUAUAAGACUGGGAUAACUUCGGGAAACCGGAGCUAAUACCGGAUAAUAUAUUGAACCGCAUGGUUCAAUAGUGAAAGACGGUUUUGCUGUCACUUAUAGAUGGAUCCGCGCCGCAUUAGCUAGUUGGUAAGGUAACGGAUUACCAAGGCAACGAUGCGUAGCCGACCUGAGAGGGUGGUCGGCCACACUGGAACUGAGACACGGUCCAGACUCCUGCGGGGAGCAGCAGUAGGGAAUCUUCCGCAAUGGGCGAAAGCUUGAUGGUGCAACGUCGCGUGAGUGAUGAAGGUCUUCUGAUCGGAAAACUCUGUUAUUAGUGGAGAACAAAUGUGUAAGUAACUAUGCACGUCUUGACGGUACCUAAUCAGAAAGCCACGGCUAACUACGUG
rnacentral:rRNA from 1 species